AAUAAAUGGAUUGUUACAUGUAACAACAUGGAUGCAUCUCAAAGUAACUAUGCUGAGUAAAAGAAGAUAGACUAAAACAGAACAUACUGUAUAAUUUCUAUAAAACUAGAAAAGGCAAACAUCUUCAGACAAAUAAUGCAUCCCUGAUUGCCAGGGACAGGAGAGAUGGGAGGAAAGAACUAUAAAAGGACCAAGGAAACUUUUGAGGGCAUACCAUUGGAACCCUUUGUUCCUUCAUGCUACUGGAACGAUUUGAAAAUGCCAGUUCCAGAUAAGAAAACUGAGACACAGAGAGACUUAGUAAAUUUCCUCAAUUCAUUCAGAUGGUGAGGAGACAAUGAGAUGUCCUUCUGCAAACCAGAAGAGGGCCCUCACUAGACACUGCAUCUACCAGCACCUUGAUCCUGGACGUCCCAGAUUUUAGAAUUGCCACUCAGACCUUGUCUCCCAGGAAUUUGAAUCCCAGCCACUGACACAGGAGGGAAAAUGGGAGGAGAUGAAGCACACCAAUUGCAGUGUCAUGGACAGAUUUCCCUCCUUUUCCUGCCAACUUUCCUGGGUCCUGUCCUUUGCAAAAGCUGGUUGUUUUGUUCUCUUUUUGGUUUAUGAAUUGCCAUGAAUCCUUUCAAUAAAAUCCUUUUGUUUCCCUAAAGUAGGCUAGAGUUGUUUACUAUCGCUUAAGACCCAAAGCACUCGUAUUCAGAACCAACAGAAUUACAUUAUAUGACAUUUCACAUAGACAGUGGGAGUCAGAAGAAAACAGUAUUUUGCUUCAUAUAUGUAGUUUUCAAAGAAAGAAUGAAAAAUCAAAAGAUCCAUCCAGUGAAAGAGUUACUGUAGUACAGAUGUUAGUGCAAGACAGCAUUAUGUAGAA